ensembl:lncRNA
UGGGGAUCUGGUGUGCGGAUCUGGAAAUGGGAUCUGGAAAUGGGAUCUGGAAAUGGGAUCUGGAGUGGGGAUCUGGAAUGGGAUCUGGAAUGGAGAUCUGGAAAUGGGAUCUGGAGUGGGGAUCUGGUGUGGGGAUCUGGGGAGGGGAUCUGGAACAGGAUCUGGAGUGGGGAUCUGGAAAUGGGAUCUGGAAAUGGGAUCUGGAACAGGAUCUGGAAAUGGGAUCUGGAGUGGGGAUCUGGAGUAGUAUUUGGAGUGGGGAUCUGGUGUGGGGAUCUAGGGAGGGGAUCUGGAACAGGAUCUGGGGAGGGGAUCUGGAGUGGGGAUCUGGAGUGGGGAUCUGGAGUGGGGAUCUGGAAUGGUAUUUGGAGUGGGGAUCUGGUGUGGGGAUCUGGGGAGGGGAUCUGGAACAGGAUCUGGAGUGGGGAUCUGGAAAUGGGAUCUGGAACAGGAUCUGGAAAUGGGGUCUGGAGUGGGGAUCUGGAGUGGGGAUCUGGAAUGUUAUUUGGAGUGGGGAUCUGGGGAAUGGGAUCUGGAACAGGAUCUGGAACAGGAUCUGGAACAGGAUCUGGAAAUGGGAUCUGGAAAUGGGAUCUGGAAAUGGGAUCUGGAAAUGGGAUCUGGAGUGGGGAUCUGGAGUGGGGAUCUGGAGUGGGGAUCUGGAAUGUUAUUUGGAGUGGGGAUCUGGUGUGGGAUCUGGAGUGGGGAUCUGGGGAGGGGAUCUGGGGAGGGGAUCUGGUGUGCGGAUCUGGAAUGGAGAUCUGGAACAGGAUCUGGAGUGGGGAUCUGGAAAUGGGAUCUGGAAAUGGGAUCUGGAGUGGGGAUCUGGAGUGGUAUUUGGAGUGGGGAUCUGGUGGGGGGAUCUGGAACAGGAUCUGGAGUGGGGACCCGGAAUGGGAUCUGGAAUGGGAUCUGGAGUGGGGAUCUGGAACAGGAUUUGGAGAGGGGAUCUGGAAAUGGGAUCUGGUGUGGGGAUCUGGUGUGGGGAUUUGGAGUGGGGAUCUGGAGUGGGGAUCUGGAGUGGGGAUCUAGAGAGGGAUCUGGAACGGAAUCUGGUGUGGGGAUCUGGAGAGGGGAUCAGGUGUGGGGAUUGGGAGUGGGGAUCUGGAGCAGGGAUCUGGAAAUGGGAUCCAGAAUGGGGGAUCUGGAGUGGGGAUCUGGAGAGGGAUCUGGACUGGGAUCUGGAGUGGGGAUCUGGAGAGGGAUCUGCAGUGGGAUCUAGAGAGGGACCUGGAACGAGGAUCUGGAAUGGCAUCUGGUCUGGGAUCUCGUAUGGGAUCUGGAACAGGAUCUGGAGAGGGAUCUGGAAUGGGAUUGGGAGUGGGGAUCUGGAGUGGGGAUGUGGAGCAGGAUCUGGAGAGGGAUCUGCACUGAGAUCUGGUCUGGGAUCUGGCCUGGGAUCUGGUGUGGGAUCCACACUGGGAUCCACACUGGGAUCCACACUGGGAUCCAGACCGGGAUCCAGACCAGAACCUUCCCUGGGAUCUGCCUUGGGAUCCACCCCGGGGUCCAACCUGGGAUCCAGCCCGGGAUCUUCCCUGGGAUCCACACUGGGAUUUUCCCCGGGAUCUGGACCAGGACCUACCCAGGGAUCCUCCCUGGGAUCCUCCCUGGGAUCCAGCCCGGGAUCCAGCCCGGGAUCCAGCCCAGGAUCCAGCCCGGGAUCUUCCCUGGGAUCCCCCAAUCCGGGAUUUCCCCUCCCCCCAUCCCGGAUUUCCUCACAAUUCCCGGAUGAUCCCGAUUUCCCCCCUUUGUUCUUCCCAUUUUCCCUUCAUUGGGACACUGCCCCUCCCCCACCCNAUCUGGUGUGGGGAUCUGGGGAGGGGAUCUGGAAUGGGAUCUGGAGUGGGGAUCUGGAGUGGGGAUCUGGGGAGGGGAUCUGGAACAGGAUCUGGAGUGGGGAUCUGGAAAUGGGAUCUGGAAAUGGGAUCUGGAAAUGGGAUCUGGAAAUGGGAUCUGGAGUGGGGAUCUGGAGUGGGGAUCUGGAAUGGAGAUCUGGAAAUGGGAUCUGGAAAUGGGAUCUGGAGUGGGGAUCUGGAAUGGUAUUUGGAGUGGGGAUCUGGGGAGGGGAUCUGGAACAGGAUCUGGAAAUGGGAUCUGGAAUUGGGAUCUGGAAAUGGGAUCUGGAGUGGGGAUCUGGAAAUGGGAUCUGGAACAGGAUCUGGAAAUGGGAUCUGGAGUGGGGAUCUGGAGUGGGGAUCUGGAAUGGAGAUCUGGAAAUGGGAUCUGGAACAGGAUCUGGAGUGGGGAUCUGGAAAUGGGAUCUGGAACGGGAUCUGGAAUGGGGAUCUGGUGUGGGGAUCUGGAAAUGGGAUCUGGUGUGCAGAUCUGGAGUGGGGAUCUGGAAUGGUACUUGGAGUGGGGAUCUGGUGUGGGAUCUGGGGAGGGGAUCUGGAACAGGAUCUGGAGAGGGGAUCUGGAAAUGGGAUCUGGAGAGGGGAUCUGGAAAUGGGAUCUGGAGAGGGGAUCUGGAAAUGGGAUCUAGAACAGGAUCUGGAGUGGGGACCUGGAAUGGGAUCUGGAAUGGGAUCUGGAGUGGGGAUCUGGAACAGGAUCUGGAGAGGGGAUCUGGAGAGGGGAUCUGGAACGGGAUCUGGGGUGGGGAUCUGGGGAGGGGAUCUGGUGUGGAGGUCUGGAGUGGGGAUCUAGAGACGGAUCUGGAGCAGGAUCUGGUGGGGGGAUCUGGAACAGGAUCUGGGCUGGGAUCUGGAGUGGGGAUCUGGUCUGGGAUCUGGAGCAGGAUCUGGAACGGGAUUGGCAGUGGGGAUCUGGAGCGGGGAUCUGGUGUGGGGUCUGGAGAGGGAUCAGGAGUGGGGAUCCGGAACGGGAUCUAGAAUGGGAUCUGGAACAGGGAUCUGGAGAGGGAUCUGCAGUGAGAUCUGCGCUGGGAUCUGGGCUGGGUUCUGGUCUGGGAUCUGGCCUGGGAUCUGGUGUGGGAUCCACACUGGGAUCCACACUGGGAUCUACACUGGGAUCCAGACCAGGAUCCAGACCAGAACCUUCCCUGGGAUCUGCCUUGGGAUCCACCCCGGGGUCCAACCUGGGAUCCAGCCCGGGAUCUUCCCUGGGAUCCAGCCCGGGAUCCAGCCCGGGAUCUUCCCUGGGAUCCACCCUGGGAUUUUCCCCGGGAUCUGGAUCAGGACCUACCCAGGGAUCCUCCCUGGGAUCCUCCCUGGGAUCCAGCCCGGGAUCCAGCCCGGGAUCCAGCCCAGGAUCCAGCCUGGGAUCUUCCCUGGGAUCCCCCAAUCCGGGAUUUCCCCUCCCCCCAUCCCGGAUUUCCUCACAAUUCCCGG